rnacentral:misc_RNA from 1 species
AACGCACCUUGCACCCUUUGGUAUUCCGAAGGGUACGCCCGUUUGAGUGUCGUUGUAAUCUCACUUCAGAACGAUCUGAAUGUGGACCUGGGAGUUGCUGGGAACCCAGCCCUCCUCAAAAGCCUCAGUGCAAUCCUCGAUGUGCCGUACAGGUGUGAUAAUUCACUCACCGUGACAAGGGCGCUCGAGGCCUCUUGCGCUUCCAACUGUCUCUCGAGACAAUUUUGAACAUUUGACCUCAAAUCGGGUGGGACUACCCGCUGAACUUAA